rnacentral:rRNA from 1 species
AUUGAACGCUGGCGGCAGGCCUAACACAUGCAAGUCGAGCGGAUGAGGGAAGCUUGCUUCCCGAUUUAGCGGCGGACGGGUGAGUAAUGCCUAGGAAUCUGCCUAUUAGUGGGGGAUAACGUUCCGAAAGGAACGCUAAUACCGCAUACGUCCUACGGGAGAAAGUGGGGGAUCUUCGGACCUCACGCUAAUAGAUGAGCCUAGGUCGGAUUAGCUAGUUGGUGAGGUAACGGCUCACCAAGGCGACGGUCCGUAGCUGGUCUGAGAGGAUGAGCAACCACACUGGAACUGAGACACGGUCCAGACUCCUACGGGAGGCAGCAGUGGGGAAUAUUGGACAAUGGGCGAAAGCCUGAUCCAGCCAUGCCGCGUGUGUGAAGAAGGUCUUCGGAUUGUAAAGCACUUUAAGUUGGGAGGAAGAGUUGUAAGCUAAUAUCUUGCAGCUUUGACGUUACCAACAGAAUAAGCACCGGCUAACUCUGUGCCAGCCGCCGCCGUAACAC